ACCCCCGUGACGCAGCGGUUAGCGUGUCGUUCUUAUACAGAGUAACAUCUCCGAAAGGGGUAACUUGUAUGCAGCUAUGCGAAAGUCGUGAGUUCGAAUCUCACCUGGGGUA